rnacentral:rRNA from 1 species
UACGUAGGUGGCAAGCGUUGUCCGGAUUUAUUGGGCUUAAAGGGUGCGUAGGCGGUCUUAUAAGUCAGUGCUGAAAUAUCCCGGCUUAACCGGGAGGGUGGCAUUGAUACUGUAGGACUUGAGUAGAGUUGAGGUUGGCGGAAUUGACGGUGUAGCAGUGAAAUGCGUAGAGAUCGUAAGGAAGACCAGUGGCGAAGGCGAGUUUCUGGACAGUUACUGACGCUGAGGCACGAAGGCCAGGGGAGCAAACGGG